AGAGUUUGAUCCUGGCUCAGACUGAACGCUGGCGGCGUGGUUAAAGCAUGCAAGUCGAGCGGACCCGCAAGGGUUAGCGGCGAAAGGGUGAGUAAAAGUAUCCAACGUACCGCGAGGUGUGGGAUAGGCAGGGGAAACC
rnacentral:rRNA from 1 species